rnacentral:tRNA from 1 species
GGAGGCGUGCGUGAGUGGUUGAAACGGAUGGUCUUGAAAACCAUUAUGCCCGAAGGGGCAUCGAAGGUUCGAAUCCUUCCGCCUCCGCCA